UGAGAUACGUAUGCAGUGGAUGCGACAUCCAUGCGAGUCAUUUUCUUUUGACCCCUCUUUUAGUAAAUAGUACAUUAGAUAAACCCACACCCUUUAGACAAGAACAACAAAAGUGGAUCCCAUAGAGUACUACGGAUGCGUAUGGAUGCUAAUACCUUCCCUUCGCAAAAUCGACUCCCGAACCCAAGAUUUGGUUGCGAGACCUUGUCUUUUCCUUUCCUUUUUCCAGGUUUACUUUGAGCGUUUCCUUUCCCUCCUU
rnacentral:lncRNA from 1 species